rnacentral:lncRNA from 1 species
GGAAGAAUUUUCUUAGAACCAAAAGGCAUGGAAUUGAUGACAUGAAACUGCCUGAGCUUCUCAGCUGACCUGUGAUGGAGUGUUGUGCCCAAGUGGAAAGUUCUUCUUUCUUUCAGAGACAUAUCAUUCACCAUAAAAUACAACCAGAGACUUCAAAAUUACUCCAGGCUAGAAGGACACUCCAAUUAGGGGAAAAGUAACCUAUGGGCAAACCAUCUUCCAUAAGAGUUCAAGGACAAAAGACUACUCAUGUUGUAAUAACAUUGAAACUUAAUGUUUUGGGCAAUCCUUAAGUAAUUUAUUUGGAGUAUCCCAGUCAUUUUAGUCCUCUUCACCUUACAAUGUGUUGUGUGAGAUUAUAUUUCCGUGCACCUAAUUUUAAAAUAAAUUUAUUUAGGCAGAUGUAGAGACAUAUUACUGUGAUAAAGCAGUUCAUACUAAAUAAAAUUGAGCUAA